GAUGAACGCUGGCGGCGUGCUUAAUACAUGCAAGUCGAGCGAACGGACGAGACGUUUGUUUCUUUGUUGUUUGCCGAGGACGGGAGAGUCACAUGUGGAUACUCUCCUUGUCUUUCUGGGAUCACUUGGGGACACCGGAUAUAAUACCGUAUAAUAUCCUGCACCGCAUGGUUUAUUAGUGAAAGUCGGUCUUGCUGUCAGUUCUCGAUGGAUCCGCGCUGCAUUAGCUAGUUGGUAAGGUCACGGCUUACCAAGGUAACGAUGCAUAACCGACCUGAGAGGGUGAUCGGCCACACUGGAACUUGGACACGGUCCAGACGCCUACGGGAGGCAGCAGUAGGGAAUCUUCCGCAAAAGGCGAAAGCCUGACGGAGCAACGCCGCGUGAGUGAUGAAGGUCUUCGGAUCGUAAAACUCUGUUAUUAGGGAAGAACAUAUGUGUAAGUAACUGUACACAUCUUGACGGUACCGAAUCAGAAAGCCACGGCUAACUACGUG
rnacentral:rRNA from 1 species